UACGUAGGCAGCAAGCGUUGUUCGGAAUUACUGGGCGUAAAGGGCUCGUAGGCGGCCAACUAAGUCAUACGUGAAAUCCCUCAGCUUAACUGGGGAACUGCGUGUGAUACUGGAUGGCUUGGAUUUGGGAGAGGGAUGCGGAAUUCCAGGUGUAGCGGUGAAAUGCGUAGAUAUCUGGAGGAACACCGGUGGCGAAGGCGGCAUCCUGGACCAAUAUUGACGCUGAGGAGCGAAAGCCAGGGGAGCAAACGGG
rnacentral:rRNA from 1 species